UACGUAGGGGGCAAGCGUUGUCCGGAAUCAUUGGGCGUAAAGCGCGUGUAGGCGGCUGAGUAAGUCUGCUCUGAAAGCCCGGGGCUCAACCCCGGGAGGCGGGUGGAUACUGCUCAGCUCGAGUCCGGAAGAGGAGUGUGGAAUUCCUGGUGUAGCGGUGAAAUGCGCAGAUAUCAGGAGGAACACCAUGGCGAAGGCAGCACUCUGGGACGGUACUGACGCUGAGACGCGAAAGCGUGGGGAGCAAACAGG
rnacentral:rRNA from 1 species